GACGAACGCUGGCGGCGUGCUUAACACAUGCAAGUCGAACGGAAAGGCCCUGCUUUUGUGGGGUGCUCGAGUGGCGAACGGGUGAGUAACACGCGAGUAACCUGCCCUUGACUUUGGGAUAACUCCAGGAAACUGGGGCUAAUACCGGAUAGGAGCUCUUGCUGCAUGGUGGGGGUUGGAAAGAUUCGGCGGUUGGGGAUGGACUCGCGGCUUAUCAGCUUGUUGGUGGGGUAGUGGCUUACCAAGGUUUUGACGGGUAGCCGGCCUGGGAGGGUGACCGGCCACAUUGGGACUGAGAUACGGCCCAGACUCCUACGGGAGGCAGCGGUGGGGAGUAUUGCACAAUGGGCGGAAGCGUGAUGCAGCAACGCCGCGUGCGGGAUGACGGCCUUCGGGUUGUAAACCGCUUUCGCCUGUGACGAAGCGUGAGUGACGGUAAUGGGUAAAGAAGCACCGGCUAACUACGUG
rnacentral:rRNA from 1 species